CGUUUCAUCGUUUAUACUCAGGCUUUUCUCGACCUUUCCAGUUUCACCCAGUGCUUGCAUGACGGAUGUUGAAUUUGAGAUCCAGUUUCUCAUUGUGAAGCCGCCCUGUAGGUGGAUGUACUGGAUAUCCUUCGCUAGCUUUAUUGCCUCUUCUUUUGUGUCGACGCUGACUAACAUAUCGUCAACGUAAUGACCGUUCUUGAUGACUUCAACUGCUUUGGGAAGGCGUUCUGCAAAACGUGCCGCAUUCUCGUUGAUUAUAAAUUGGGCGCAGCUCGGUGAGCAUUUGGCGCCAAACGUCAUUACCGUUACCACGUAUUCGGCAGGCAUAUCCUCCUCAUCGCACCAGAUAAUUCGCUGGCAGUGUUGAUCUCGUUCAUUCAUCGCUACACGUAAAAACAUCUCAGCGAUAUCUCCAGACACUGCAAUCGGUCGCUCCCGAAAUCUGUACAAUACAACCGGUAAUGCUGUUAGAAGAUCGGGCCCUUUCAUGAGAACGGCAUUGAGUGAGACUCCUGCCACAGCUGCCGCCGCAUCCCAGACGAUCCUGACCUUAUUCGGCUUGUUCGGAUUGAACACGGGAAAAAUUGGCAAGUACCAUAUGCGAUCCCCAGACUGUUGCAGUUCCAUUUGUGAAAGCUUGCGAACGUAACCCUUUUGAAUAUAUUCGCCCAUCUUCGCUUUGAGUGUGUCAGCUAAGCUUGAAUCGCGUCCCAUCCUCUGCAUCAAACAUUUAUGUCGGCGUAGUGCCAUCGGUCUGCUGUCGGGAAAUCGAAUAUCGUCGAAUUUCCACAGUAGCCCUGUUCGAUACCUUCCAUUCUCGAAUCUUGUCACUGAUCGCAUAAGCUCGGUUGAACGUGCAUCCUCUGUAGACAGUAACAUCUUUUCUGGUUUGUAAAUUCCCAAAUUUUCAAGAGCGAAGUGAGCCUUAACCAUGGAAUUUAAUUCGGCAUCAUUUUCGGUUGAAUGAUGACACAUAUGAAAACUGUGUGGUGCAAUGUUUGAAGACGAUUUAUUUCCCGUGGAGCACAUUCCGUACACCAUCCAUCCUAAUCGCGUCUUGGCUGCUACAGGCUCGUGUACUGCACCUUCACGACAUUUCAAUGGAUUCACUACGCGUAUAUUGUUCAUGCCGAUAAGGAUACGUGGUUGAAUGUUUUCAUACGAUUCAACAGGUAUUCCUUGCAGAUGUGCAUGCUGCGAGGCUAACGUUGCAAACGAUAGAGACUGGAAAGGAAGCUUUAGCUCCUUCACGGUGUAAACAUCAGUCAGUCGAUGCUUUAUGUUACCGUUUCCUAUUUUAGAAAUAUCAAGCGAGACCCUCUUGGCCGAAUUUUCAUAACGGCAGGUGUCUGCGGUCCAACGUAAGCAAAGCGGACGCUUUUCUCCCUCUAGACACAACUCUGAAGCCAGUCCUUCUUCUAGUAGCGUCAACGAUGAUCCACAAUCGAGAAAGGCGAACGUAUCAAUAUGUAUGUCUUUAUUAUAAAGCGUCACCGGAACGUACUGAAACAGGACCGAAUUGCAGUUGCUUCUGUGAGUGUUGCAAACAUACUCGGUGGCGUCAUGCUUACUGUCACCACUAGAUUGCUGCCUCCGACCCGAUUCAGUGGAAGUGGGAUUGAAGGAGUGCUUAUCCUUUGCAUCGUUGUGCAGCAACCGAUGAUGCUUAAACGUACAUCCUUUUUUACCGCAUACUUUAGCGGAUUUACACGGGCCCUGGUGCUUACCAAGGCAGCAGCGGCACAACUUAUGUUCGCGGAGCGCAUUCCAUCGAGAUGGAUGAUCGAGUACCAGAAACUGCUUGCAAUUUUCCACCGCAUCGCAUUUUCCUCGACAAACGGAACAUCCACUAAAACUGGGACCUCCCGUAAAUGUAUUUCGCUGAUUUGUCAGCAACAUUUUGACCUUGUGGAAUAGUUACCGUACUUGCUGCCUCAGCAAGCGUGUAGAGCCAUGCACUAAAUUCGGCAAGGGAAGCUUGGCGUAAACCUUGGCGAUGUGUUGCCCAGUUAAGCCGAAUCAUGGGUGGUUGCAAUUCUGAAGUGUUGCUACCAUAUUCCUAACGGCAAUUGCGAAGUCAACUAAAGUACAGAGUUUAUCUGCUCUCGGUGCAGGCAAUAACUGGACCUUCUGGAUAAGAGAAUGAACUAUAACCUCUGGUCGACCGAAAAGCAUUUUUAGCGUCGCUAACACACUUUCCAGAUUUCUCGGAUACAACAACUGACAUCUGACUGCGUCCAAUGCCUUGCCCUUGAGGCAUUUUUGCAGCCGCAUCAUAUUUUCUUCUAUCGUAUAGCCACAGAGACGCGUCGUACUUUCGAAAGCAGCAAUAAAUAACGGCCACUGUUCUGGGUCGCCGUUAUAUUCCGGGAGGUCCUUUGAGACGGCUUGACGAGCAGCUAUCUGGCUUCUAUUAAGUAAAGUGGAUUCAUUCCCAACAUUAGUAGCAAGCGACGGGUCAAGCGGACGCGUGUAUGGAACGUUUGCACGAGACGACACUAG